rnacentral:rRNA from 1 species
UUGGAGGGCAAGUCUGGUGCCAGCAGCCGCGGUAAUUCCAGCUCCAAUAGCGUAUAUUAAAGUUGUUGCAGUUAAAAAGCUCGUAGUUGAAUUUCGGGGUUAGUAGGUUGGUCAUGCCUCUGGUAUGUACUGGUCUCACUGAUUCCUCCUUCCUUAUGAACCGUAAUGCCAUUAAUUUGGUGUUGCGGGGAAUUCGGACUGUUACUUUGAAAAAAUUAGAGUGUUUAAAGCAGGCUAACGCUUGAAUACAUUAGCAUGGAAUAAUGAAAUAGGACGUUCGAUCUUAUUUUGUUGGUUUCUAGGAUUGACGUAAUGAUUAAUAGGGAUAGUUGGGGGCAUUAGUAUUCAAUUGUCAGAGGUGAAAUUCUUGGAUUUAUUGAAGACUAACUACUGCGAAAGCAUUUGCCAAGGAUGUUUUCAUUAAUCAAGAACGAAAGUUAGGGGAUCGAAGACGAUCAGAUACCGUCGUAGUCUUAACCAUAAACUAUGCCGACUAGGGAUCGGAUGAUGUUAAUUUUUUAAUGACUCAUUCGGCGCCUUACGGGAAAC